rnacentral:rRNA from 1 species
AUGAACGCUAGCGGCAGGCUUAACACAUGCAAGUCGAGGGGCAGCAUGAGACGGAGAUUCGUCGAAGUCUUGAUGGCGACCGGCGCAAGGGUGCGUAACGCGUGAGCAACUUGCCCGUUUCAGGGGGAUAACCGGUGGAAACGCCGACUAAUACCCCAUGGCAUCACAAUGAGGCAUCUUUUUGUGAUUAAGAAUUUCGGAUAAGGAUAGGCUCGCGUGACAUUAGCUAGACGGCGGGGUAACGGCCCACCGUGGCUACGAUGUCUAGGGGUUCUGAGAGGAAGGUCCCCCACACUGGAACUGAGACACGGUCCAGACUCCUACGGGAGGCAGCAGUGAGGAAUAUUGGUCAAUGGUCUGACGACUGAACCAGCCAUGCCGCGUGAAGGUCACGGCCCUAUGGGUCUUAAACUUCUUUUGUAAGGGAGCAAUAAGUCUCACGUGUGGGAUGAUGAGAGUACCUUACGAAUAAGCAUCGGCUAACUCCGUG